AGGCAGCAGUGGGGAAUAUUGCACAAUGGGGGAAACCCUGAUGCAGCCAUGCCGCGUGUGUGAAGAAGGCCUUCGGGUUGUAAAGCACUUUCAGUAGGGAGGAAGGUAGUGUAGUUAACACCUGCACUAUUUGACGUUACCUACAGAAGAAGCACCGGCUAACUCCGUGCCAGCAGCCGCGGUAAUACGGAGGGUGCGAGCGUUAAUCGGAAUUACUGGGCGUAAAGCGCAUGCAGGCGGCCUGUUAAGUCAGAUGUGAAAGCCCGGGGCUUAACCUCGGAAUUGCAUUUGAAACUGGCAGGCUAGAGUCUUGUAGAGGGGGGUAGGAAUUUCAGGUGUAGCGGUGAAAUGCGUAGAGAUCUGAAGGAAUACCAGUGGCGAAGGCGGCCCCCUGGACAAAGACUGACACUCAGAUGCGAAAGCGUGGGGAGCAAACAGGAUUAGAUACCCUGGUAG
rnacentral:rRNA from 1 species